UACGUAGGGGGCAAGCGUUGUCCGGAAUCAUUGGGCGUAAAGCGCGUGUAGGCGGCUUGGUAAGUCCGCUCUGAAAGCCCGGGGCUCAACCCCGGGAGGCGGGUGGAUACUGUCAAGCUCGAGUCCGGAAGAGGCGAGUGGAAUUCCUGGUGUAGCGGUGAAAUGCGCAGAUAUCAGGAGGAACACCAGUGGCGAAGGCGGCUCACUGGCCCGGUACUGACGCUGAGGUGCGAAAGCGUGGGGAGCAAACAGG
rnacentral:rRNA from 1 species